rfam:Mesitornis unicolor contig102518, whole genome shotgun sequence.
UCCUCGUUAGUACAGCGGUGAGUAUCCCCGCCUGUCAUGCAGGAGACCUGGGUUCGAUUCCCUGACGGGAAG